rnacentral:lncRNA from 1 species
UUUAUGUUCACUUCCUAUUCUUAAGCCAUAAAAUGAGCUUUGUAUUACUUCUCUUUCAUAUCCCCUCAAGUUUCUCCCAUCCCCUACCCCAUAUCUAUUAUCCCUCUCUUUCUCUGUAAUUCCCGAUCUCAUGUCCUGUUUUCUUCUUUCUUGUACAAUUUCAACAAUGAUACAACGACAGUUAUCUCCUCUUUUCUCCUUUUCGCCGGCGGCGAAGGUCAUUCCUAGUGUCGUCGUACAAUACUUGGCCCAUUACUUUUGGUUUUACAUCGGCAACAGGAACCCUAAAACUAGAAGAUGGUGGGUUGAUGAAAUUCAAACUUUGGACUUCUUCCCACUUCUCCUGCAGCUUUUUAUACUGAUGUAAUUUUGAUACAUCAGAACAAUGAGAUUCAGGGUUUUUCUCGAUGGCGGAUUCGCCGGAAAUAAGGAUUUGUUCUUGAACAAAGACAACAGAGUUUGGGGCUGAGCAACUUGAUUUUGUGUUAAUAUAUUUCAAUGUAUUUUCAACGUAGUAUUUCCUUGUAUUCAUUGUCUUUUUUUCAUUAUAAUUCAAUGUAUCUCGUAUAUUUCAUUGUAUUCAUUGUCUUUUUUCAUUAUAUUUCAAUGUAUCCCACUGUAUUAUAUGUAUUUAAUUGUAUUCACUGUCUCGUUAUAUGUCAUGAAUGUAUUUAUAUAUUUUUUUAA